rnacentral:rRNA from 1 species
GACGAACGCUGGCGGCGUGCUUAACACAUGCAAGUCGAACGGAAAGGCCCUGCUUGCAGGGUACUCGAGUGGCGAACGGGUGAGUAACACGUGGGUGAUCUGCCCUGCACUUCGGGAUAAGCUUGGGAAACUGGGUCUAAUACCGGGUAGGAACCAUCCUUAGUGUGGGGGUUGGAAAGUUUUUUCGGUGUAGGAUGAGCUCGCGGCCUAUCAGCUUGUUGGUGGUGUAAUGGCCUACCAAGGCGGCGACGGGUAGCCGGCCUGGGAGGGUGUACGGCCAAAUUGGGACUGAGAUACGGCCCAGACUCCUACGGGAGGCAGCAGUGGGGAAUAUUGCACAAUGGGCGGAAGCCUGAUGCAGCGACGCCGCGUGGGGGAUGAAGGGCUUCGGGUUGUAAACUCCUUUCGCUAGGGACGAAGCUUUUUGUGACGGUACCUAGAUAAGAAGCACCGGCUAACUACGUG